rnacentral:rRNA from 1 species
UACGAAGGGGGCUAGCGUUGCUCGGAAUCACUGGGCGUAAAGCGCACGUAGGCGGCUUUCUAAGUCAGGGGUGAAAUCCUGGAGCUCAACUCCAGAACUGCCUUUGAUACUGGAGAGCUUGAGUCCGGAAGAGGUGAGUGGAACUCCGAGUGUAGAGGUGGAAUGCGCAGAUAUCAGGAGGAACACCAAUAGCGAAGGCAGCUCGCUGGGACGUUACUGACACUGAGGCGCGAAAGCGUGGGGAGCGAACAGG